UAUACAGCUAGUGAUACAGUCCUGCAUGCUCACAUUACAAAAAGGUGUCAGACUCGUUCAGUUAAUGUCCAUUUCACAGAGUUCAACUGGCUGUACCUCAGCGUAGAUAUUGUUGUCAAUCAUGUGCUUCAACACUUUUUCAGCGAGUUCUGUCUCUUCUAUAGCUACUUUCAGCACUAUUUUCAGCAGUGUCCUGUAGGUUGCAUCAGCAGGAUUGUGGCCUCUCCAUGUUUUGAAACAACUCGGCAUUGCCAUUGUAUUGCCUUGUGAAGCAGCUAUGAACUUCACGUCUCCCAUCUCGGCGGCAGUCAGUCCCAUUUUCUCGGUGAAGACAUUCACAUUGUUGAAGUGCUUCGCCAAGACAGGAAACUCGCUCUUAUUAAUCUCUGUAUCUAGCAUUCGAGAGGCUUUAUUAUCUGGGUUGUACUUUCCUAAGAAUUCUGCAACUUGGUCCAUUUCUGUUGGUGGGUUUAGUAGAAGGAUAUUCAGGGUUGUGGUGAGUAGGAUAUGCCUUGCUUAUAUAAUUAUGCGUAUACUGUUGCUAAGUACAUAUUUAUGGAGUCCCUGAUUUUUUCCCUUAUAAGUACUGACACGUACAAAUGCUAUAGACAUUGAAGGAAUGGGCUAAAUAGGAUUCAUUACGAGAGGUUAGAGAAUCAUGAGACUACUGCAGCACACCACCAUGCACCCCCAGCAAAGGUUCACAGGACAGAUGAUCUAAUCAGAUCAUAUUUAUGAUUUGGUAACUGUAAUCAAAUUCAUUAUUACCUUGUAGCUUGUUGUUAGAAAAUAAAUGAAUGUAGCUAAUGUUGCAUCGAGUAAUAAACUAUAACUAUACACACAACAACAACAACUUUUGUCAGCUCCAACAACAUUGCCACACUCAUACAUACGUGAACUUUCCCUCUGGCCCCUCAAGAGAAUACACAGAUAGCAGCAAUGAUAGAGUACCGUAUAGCGCGAAAUUUUCGAGGCACUUAUAUUUCAUGCAUUGGCCUCUAAAAACCAUUUCGUUGCACAAUGUUCGCGGAAUGACUGCUUACCGGAAGCCACGCCUUUAAAUCUUUGCAUGAUAGCAGGUAAUUCUAAUUAAAGAACACUUUUUGUGGACUUAAUUUUCGUGUAGAAUUCUAACCCCACAAAAUCCGCGAAAAUUAAGCCCCUCGAAAAUUUCGCGCUAUACGGUAUUAUAAAAGGAGGCAUAUUCAUCCCUAACUAAAACAAUUUUCUACAAGCCUGCAGGUGUAGCGACUAAUCAAAUCAAAAAAGAAGUAAUGGAGCGAGGUGAAUGAAUGUAAAAUAUAAUAGCUAAUGUUGCAUCCAAGUAACUAACUAUACACACACACAAGUCAGACAACAGGUCAGACAACACCUUUCCACCCCCCUCAUUCCAGUCCCUGUGUUUCAACAACAUCUGCGACGGCUUCAGGAUAGGAGGAGGAUCACUACUACGCUCUCUCCAUCUGCAACACUAUUGUGGCAGCUGUACUGUUGGCCGGCAUGGCUUGACAGUGUACAAUGAAGAUGGCUGCCACACUGAAGAGCAUUGGAAGCCAUGCCAACAGUACAGCUGCCACAAUAGUGUUGCGGAUGGAAAGAGCGUUUAUAGACAUAUGUGCAGUAUACGUACCUACAUGUACAUAAUAAUACUGAAUAUAGUAAAUAAGCUGCUCGUACGCCUUGUCGAUUUGCAUAUGAGAUGAAUCAUAUUAUGGAUUUGGAUUACUAAGGUUAUGAGCAAUUGUUUUAAAAUACUGAAAGUGUAUAGCAUCACUGAUAAUGGAUCAAAAUUGAUAGAUUGGGUAUACAGGGUUUUGCAGACAUCAACAAUAGUGUCGAGGGUUGAGCGUUCCUUAUAUGGAGUGCUUUGCGCUUUGUAAUCUUCCAUAUAAGGAACACUCAACCCUCUAUGUUGCAAAGAUUGAAGCAUAUACUCAGAAGCAAGCGGAUACCAUUCAACAACCGUAUACAAAUGGAGACUGUCAAUAUGGAAUCAGGACAAACUUGAACAAGAUUUCCAAACCAAAUGUCGCGAAUAUUUGCUUCAUAUCGAUGUUUAUUACAGGAAAAGAAAACCACUACUAUAUCCUGUCUCAUCGUACCUUGGUCUUUGCAUACAUUCUCUUUUUUGCUUGGCCAGAAAUUCUGUUGAGUGUAGCCACUAUCAUCAAUGCUAAAAAGGCUCAAGAACUAAGACAUUGAAGGCAAUAAAACUGAGGCUGAGAGAAAGGCUUCUCUGGCUCAGAAUCUCAACAUUGCAUCCUACAUCACAUCUGUAGUGUGUUUCGUAUUGGUGUCAACGGUACUCCCAGUGGCUAUUUACGUUGGAAUCGUAUACAGUUAGCUACAAUAAGGACAUACGCCUGCAUUAGGCUAUAGGUACAUGCAUGUAUAUAAUUAUUUACAACUUGACAUAGAUUUUGUGGAUUCACGUCACAAUUAAGGUCCAUUCCAUUGUCAUUUGAUGUACUUCUAGGUACGUACAAACGCAGCUGAUUUAGAAUACAGAUACUAGUUAGUGCACACUAGAUGUUAGCCUCCUUCACAGCCUCUUCUUUUUUUGUUCUUUGUCACAAUAGUUCAGUAAGAUAAAAUACGAGAUGAAUUGGAGGAACAAAGAAAGAAAGAAGAAAGAGACAAAGAAAAAGUAGAGCCUGCCUUGCUAAGUCGCGUGACGGUAGACAAGUGGUAGACAAGUGAAAAUGAACGUGAGCAAUCAUUAGCUGGGCGGAGCCUGGCAGAGCAAAAAGCUAUACAGCAUGCCUAUACGCGUAUACGCAUUGCAAACUCUAACAUAAAAGCUGUUAGCAUCCUGGAUAGUAUGCCAGAAUCAAGUGUGGAGACAUCGUAGAACGAGGGCUUACCAUUAAAGAUCUAGAUCUAGAUCUAAAUUUAGCUCAGUUUUUUUCCUGAGUUCAGAACAGACCCUAGUGGAUAUAAUUAUUACAGCAGUAUAGUCUUCUCUAGUCUUUCAUACUUCCUAAAGGUCUCACGAAGGCUGUUCAUAAAAUUAUGCACUCCAGUACAGGCAACUACUAUGCUCCUGUCUAACUAUUAUUUAGAACAUUUGAAACAGUAGGAACCGUGGGGACAAUAGAAACAGCUGUAAUAGUUUAAAUGCUGUGUAUAGCAUGAGUAUUACACUUAUAUUGAAAGUGCAAAAAAAACGUAUCACUGAACAAAUUUAAAGGGUGAAGUAAGUUCACAGGCAGCAAGCAUAAAGCAACAAGAAAGUAUCAUUUAACAACCAUGGUGGAGACUGUCAAUAUGGAAUCAGGACAAACCAGAGCGAGAUGUCCAAAACCAAAUGUUGCGAAUUUUUGCUGCAAACCAAUAGCUCAGUGGAUCAUUACAGGGAAAAAAGACCACUACUAUAUCCUGUCUCUGCGUACCUUGCUAAUUGCAUGCAUUCUCCUUUUUGCUUGGCCAGGAAUUCUGUUGAGUGUAGCUGCUAUCAUCAUUGCUAAAAAGGCUCAAAAACUGGAUAUUGAAGGCAAUAAAACCGAGGCUGAGAGAAAGGCUUCUCUCGCUAAGAAUCUCAACAUUGCAUCCUACAUCACCUCUUUAGUGUAUUUCAUAGUGGUGUUAACGGUACUCCCAGAGGCAAUUUACUUUGGAAUCGUAUACAGUUAGCUACAAUAAGGACAUACACCUGCAUGAGGCUAUAGGUACAUGCAGCUGAUUUAGAACUAAUACUAGUUAGUGCACGCACACUAGAUGUAUUGAUAUGUAUAUAUGCAUGGAUAUUUCACAUACAAAUUUAAUACAUAGCGGUAUAUAAUUAUAUUGGAAAGUUUAUUUAAUGAGUGACAAACUGAAAUCACACUAGCUAUUAUAUAUAGAGUACUUUAAAUAAUUAGAACGUGUACGUUCAUUACCUUUCACAUAUGCAUGGCUAUCAAGAAUUAAAUAUAGAAGGUUACAAUUCCAAUUAACAACAUGGCCACACUUACACAUACAUGAAUUUUCCCCUGUUACCUUUCAAGAGUACCUUAAGGUGACAUUAUUGCGGGUAUUAAUCUGCGAUUGAGAGUAAAAUCGUAGCUACUCACAGAUAGUUGGAAAAUGCAAUUAAAACCACUUAUGAGUAAUUAGAAACGCUAUGAAUUUCAUAACUUGAACAGGAUUUAGCGCAAAAUUAAAUAGCAGCAAAAUGAGCUAAACACUGAAAUCGCAGACAAAUCUAUACCUGUGAAAAUAUGUCACCUUAAGGUAUUAUAUUCAACCCUAACUUUCCAAGAGCCUGCAGAUGUAGCGACUAAUCAAAAUCAACAUGGAGCGAAGUGAAUGAAUGCGAGUCUUUUAACUCACGAUGUUGCAUCCAAGUAAUAACUAUACACACCACACACAUAGGUCAGAUAACACAGAUAGGAACAAGGAACUGUUUACCACCCCCACGGUCCAGUAACCACCAUUUGCGAGGGCUUCAGGAAGGGAAAGGAGGAUCACUACUACGCUCUCUCCAUUUGUAACACUAUUGUGGCAGCUGUACUGUUGGGUCGGCAUGGCUUCCAUCUUCAAUGCAAAGAAGGUACUUCUAUUCACAUACAUGUACAGUUUCGUAAACACGCAAUGCAUGAUUGAGCUAUCAAAAGACCAGAAUGUGACCCAUGCCAAAAUUGAAUACUUGAAGAGAUUUCUCUUUAUUGCGUGCGUUUAAUUAGGCACAAUCGAAGAACUUGUAUUCUGAUGUGCAUUGAACGUACGUUCUUAUACUUGUUUCUACGUUUCAUACUGUUUCUGCUGUUCUUUGUUCCUAGCAUAGCGUUCCUACUGUUCUUAAUGUACCAGUGACCAUACUAUUCCCAUGCAGUGUUCCAAAUAUUCCUACAGUUCCCAGUGUUCCUGAUGUUCCUAGGAACAGUAUAGGAACACUUGAAACGUAAGAGUAAGAACACUUAGAACAAAGGGAACAGUAGGAACCGCAAGAACUCUGUUGAGUGUAGCUGCUAUCAUUAAUGCUAAAAAGGUUCAGACAUUGAAGGCAAUAAAUCCGAGGCUGAGUGAAAGGGUUCUCUGGCUAAGAAUCUCAACAUUGCAUCCUACAUCACCUCUGGAGUGUAUUUCAUAUUGGUGUCAACAGUACUCCCAGUGGCAAUUUACCUUGGAAUCCUAUAUAUAUCUAGCUAGCUACAAUAAGGACAUACGCCUGAGGCUAUAGGUACAUGCAGCUGAUUUAGAACUACUGAAAUCAGUGUACACUAGAUGUAUUGAUGUGUACGUAUGGACAUUUCAAAGAUUGGAAAGUUUAUUUAA